rnacentral:rRNA from 1 species
UGAAUACGAGACGCUACGGCGUCGAAGCAGUCUAUGUCAUACUUCCAAGAAAAGCUCGCAAUGUCAUAAACAAAUAAUGCCUGUACCAUAACCGACACAGGUGGGUAGGUAGAGUAUACUAAGGGGCGCGAGAUAACUCUCUCUAAGGAACUCGGCAAAAUGACUCCGUAACUUCGGGAGAAGGAGUGCCUUAUUUAUAAGGUUGCAAUAACAAGAUCCAAGCAACUGUUUAUCAAAAACACAGGUCUCCGCUAAGUCGUAAGACGAUGUAUGGGGGCUGACGCCUGCCCAGUGCCAGAAGGUUAAAGAAGUUGGUUAGCAUUCGCGAAGCUGAUAACUGAAGCCCUGGUGAACGGCGGCCGUAACAAUAACGGUCCUAAGGUAGCGAAACUCCUUGUCGGGUAAGUUCCGACCCGCACGAAAGGCGUAAUGAUUUGGAUACUGUCUCGGAGAGGGGCUCGGUGAAAUAGACUUGUCUGUGAAGAUGCGGACUACCUGCACCUGGACAGAAAGACCCUAUGAAGCUUUACUGUAACUUGAAAUUGAAAUUGGACUUUAUUUGCGCAGCAUAGGUGGGAGGCGUUGAGAGUAUUCUUGCGGGAAUAUUGGAGCCAUCAGUGAGAUACCACUCUUGUAAUGUUAGAUUUCUAACUUUGGAUCAUUAUCUGGUCAAAGAACAGUUUCAGGCGGGCAGUUUGACUGGGGCGGUCGCCUCCCAAAUGGUAACGGAGGCGUACAAAGGUUUCCUCUGAACGGGUAGAAAUCGUAUCUAGAGUGUAAAGGCAUAAGGAAGCUUGACUGUGAGACCUACAAGUCGAGCAGGGACGAAAGUCGGUCUUAGUGAUCUGACGGUGCUGAGUGGAAAGGCCGUCACUCAACGGAUAAAAGUUACUCUAGGAUAACAGGCUGAUCUCCCCCAAGAGUUCACAUCGACGGGGAGGUUUGGCACCUCGAUGUCGGCUCAUCGCAUCCUGGGGCGGUAGUACGUCCCAUGGGUUGGGCUGUUCGCCCAUGAAAGCGGUACGCGAGCUGGGUUCAGAACGUCGUGAGACAGUUCGGUCCAUAUCCGGUGUAGGCGUUAGAAUAUUGAGAGGAGCCUUCUUUAGUACGAGAGGACCGAGAAGGACAUACCUCUGGUGUACCAGUUAUCGUGCCAACGGUAAACGCUGGGUAGCUAUGUAUGGAGAGGAUAACCGCUGAAAGCAUCUAAGUGGGAAGCCCACCUCAAGAUAAG